CCUGCCCCUAGAGGCCUUGCAGGUGUGGCUUCUGUGUCACAGUGCAUCAGUAGGUGACAGAGAGGAGAGAGGCUAUGUCAAUGCUCAAGUGUUCUGACCUAUGAACCUUCAAAUGAUUAGUAUCCUAACAUU